GUUACCUGAAGCUUGCCGUCCGUGAUGGUCUAGGGGGCUUCCGAGGCGAUCGGGCAGUGUCAGUCUUCAGCCGCUAAGCCAAGAAGGAGUCAGUCAGAGAGCCUUGGGCCAGAGUUCCAGGAGCUCUGGGAGUGGCUGCCAGUGAGGAUACAAUGAGAAGAUGGCAGCCUGCGCCGUAGAAGAGGAUGCUCGCCACAACCCAACCACGCUGGCACCCUGAUCUUAAGCUCCCAGACUCCGUAACUGCCAAGCCCAUUUAGAAGAAAAGCACAUUCAUUUGGGUUUUGUGGUUUGGAGAAAGGACUGCCAGAGAGGAGGUGAAAGCCACAGUGGAGCAUUCCUGGACAAUCCAUUGCAGGCUUGGGAGAUCACCAUGCAGGCAGCUCCUGCUCCAUAAUAGCCAAAAUAGCAACAUGACCACAAAUAAUUCAAAGGCUGAAACAUUUUGUUCCCACCAGUUCAAACUCUCCUGCUUCUGUCAAAUGGCUGGUAAUCCUAUCUCCUCUACUAAGCCUUUCCUAAAUGAAACAGUGGCAACUCCUUUUGAAUUCUACUAUUUAUUACAUAAACACACAAUUCCCGUGGUUCCCUUAUCACUCCAUUAAAUGCACUUGCCCUCUGAUUGAAACACAA
ensembl:lncRNA novel transcript